UUGGACUUUGGUGCUACCAUA
rnacentral:miRNA from 1 species